AGAAAUAGAGAAAUUGAAACGAGCCCAGCUAUAUGCAGAGCAUCUCGCCACUUUAAAUGCAGAAGAAAUCGCGAAAUUGAAAGCUGACAAAACAACAUUGGAGACGGAUAUGGACGCCG